rnacentral:misc_RNA from 1 species
AAAUGCGAUAAGUAAUGUGAAUUGCAGAAUUCAGUGAAUCAUCGAAUCUUUGAACGCACAUUGCGCCCGCCAGUAUUCUGGCGGGCAUGCCUGUCCGAGCGUCAUUUCAACCAUCAAGCCCCCGGGCUUGUGUUGGGGACCUGCGGCUGCCCGCAGGCCCUGAAAACCAGUGGCGGGCUCGCUGUCACACCGAGCGUAGUAGCAAUCACCUCGCUCAGGGCGUGCUGCGGGUUCCGGCCGUUAAACGGCCUUACAAAACCCAAGGUUGACCUCGGAUCAGGUAGGAAGACCCGCUGAACUUAAGC